CGAUUCAAAGCUUGCUUUUGCAUCGUUAGCGGCGGACGGGUGAGUAACACGUGGGCAACCUGCCCUGUAGACGGGGAUAACACCGAGAAAUCGGUGCUAAUACCGGAUAACACGAAAGGCCGCAUGGUCUUUCGUUGAAAGGCGGCGCAAGCUGUCGCUACAGGAUGGGCCCGCGGCGCAUUAGCUAGUUGGUGAGGUAACGGCUCACCAAGGCGACGAUGCGUAGCCGACCUGAGAGGGUGAUCGGCCACACUGGGACUGAGACACGGCCCAGACUCCUACGGGAGGCAGCAGUAGGGAAUCUUCCGCAAUGGACGAAAGUCUGACGGAGCAACGCCGCGUGAGCGAAGAAGGCCUUCGGGUCGUAAAGCUCUGUUGUUAGGGAAGAACAAGUACCGCAGUCACUGGCGGUACCUUGACGGUACCUAACGAGGAAGCCACGGCUAACUACGUGCCAGCAGCCGCGGUAAUACGUAGGUGGCAAGCGUUGUCCGGAAUUAUUGGGCGUAAAGCGCGCGCAGGCGGUUCCUUAAGUCUGAUGUGAAAGCCCACGGCUCAACCGUGGAGGGUCAUUGGAAACUGGGGGACUUGAGUGCAGAAGAGGAGAGCGGAAUUCCACGUGUAGCGGUGAAAUGCGUAGAGAUGUGGAGGAACACCAGUGGCGAAGGCGGCUCUCUGGUCUGUAACUGACGCUGAGGCGCGAAAGCGUGGGGAGCAACAGGAUUAGAUACCCUGGUAGU
rnacentral:rRNA from 1 species